GUUUUAACCAGAGAAAGAUGGACGUGGACUAAAAUUGGAAUGAUGCCAAGAAGAUUAGCAUAGUCUCUGCACAAGAUAGCAACCAAAUUAGUGCAGCAUUCCAUAUUUUC